UGCAUCCAUGUUCAUUGUCCUCUGCUUGCUUUCAUUCCUUCUGCUUGCAGUAAUGUCAAUAAUCAACAUUUCGUAUGUUUAGGACUACUUUGUAG